UUGAAGGCUUAGAAGAGCCAAAAUCUUCCAAAAAGUUGGUUGGAAGAUCUGUUGCAAUAUAAUAUAUAAAUGUAUUUGCGCUAAUGUUGAAUAAAAAACAUUCAGAACCCAUGUGAUUAUGCUUUCAUGCAACUUCUUUUUGCGAUAUAUGAUGUGAUUAAUACAUGAUUGGAAUAUUGAUUGCGCUAUUACUAGAUUCUUGUCAUGCCGCUAAGCGAAGUAGUAGAAUGUUGUACCCUAAGGGGCGAAAGUUAAGUUGCCGAAAGCAUUACUAGCUUACGCUCUAACUUGAGUAGCACUAGGCACGUGGAAUCCCGUGUGUAUCAACAAGGACCACCUUACAAGGCUAAAUACUCAUGGGUGAUCGACCGAUAGCGAAGUUGUACCAUAAGGGAAUGAUGAAAAGAAUCCCCAUCGGGGAAUGAAAUAGAAUAUGAA
rnacentral:lncRNA from 1 species